AGAGCAUCGUUCUUUCCAAAGCUGGUAUUAGGUUUCUCGUGUAUUUGGCCUUGUUCUGAAGAGAAAUGAAGGUAAAAAAAAGAAUCCUUCAUUUCUCAAACAGAAAGAGACUCAAACACAAACAUGUUUACGGUUUAGGUUAUGAAUCAGAAACUUUACAUCGAAUCGAUGAUUUACCAGACAAUGUAUUAUUAGGCUGUGAGCGAGGAAAAGCCUUCUAGUUUGUGACAAAGGGAUUGAUCUGGUUUUGCAACCCAAUGACGAGUGCAACAAUGGAGAUCAAAGGCUGGAUCUUUCUCUUAACAGCUAUUUGGCUCCAGAAAGAUGUGACAGGAAAUCUAUUCCUCAACCUGAAGAUGGAUUUCCUUCCCUGUGGAAAGAUGGCACUUGCAAACUAGAUGAGUUUAUAAGGAAAAAUGUGGAAGCCAUCUAUGCUGCAAAUCUGAACCUUCUUGCAUUUUCAGGGCGAAAACUACACGGUGAACGGCUGGUCUUGAUGGUUUGGAAAUCACCAGUAUGUAGUUGGGCCGCCUAAAAGAUAAUGUGUUGGUGUACUUUGUAAUUUUAGAUCUAUAGUGAAAAAGAAGAACCUUCUUAUUUUCUUAUUUACUUUCCUUUAACUUUCCGGAGGUUGUUUCAAUAUAGAUCUGCGUUAUACGAGGAGGUAGAUCCAUCCAUGGCUGGCCUCAAAUUUGUAUUUGGAUUUUGCUACAAUUAGUUUGCAUCUUGUAUAUCGGCCUAAUUAUAAGGCUGUUAAUUCUUAUGUCAAUUUUUCCAAUUUAUAUCA